UUUUCUCGCCAGCGGUGCCAUCGCAGCCUCGAAAGCUCGCGUCCUCGCGAGCUUUGCAGUUCACGGGAUCGCGAGUGUUGCUGCCUGCCGCUUGUAGCCUCGUGUGCGCUGUUGCCUGCCGCUCGCGAGUGUUGCUGCUUGCUGCUAGCGAUGUACAGAUUUCUAUGGCAGCUUUCAUUCUAACUUUAGGAUCCAUGACUUGCACUCUAAAUUGACUCAUGGGCUUUCUUAAUGUAGUUGAAUUGAGAGCAUCAAAAUAUUAAUCAUCAAACAUGGAUCUACAAUGACAGUAUAUGAAAGCUGGACA